AAUCAUCUUGCGUAUGACCAGACCUAAGCCUCUCAUUCUGGUACAAGCUUUCUCUCUUCUGUUCUUUAUUUUCUUUCUGAAAAAUCAAUUGCUUCUUAUUUCUGCUUGUUUCUAAUUUGAAGAAACUUCUAUUGGAUGAAUUUUCAGGAAAAACAGCAGAAUUGGAAGGUCUUGGGGUUAUAAGAAUAAAUAUCUUAUUUAAGACGAGACCUAAGCCUCUUAUUUCUAUCGGAUAUGGACCCCUAUGAUCCCAACUAUGCAAAUAAGUACACCAGCGACAAGGACAAGAAUUAUGGCAUAAGAAUCUUCUGGAAACUUGAUACAUCGCCUUUAGCAGAUAUAACUCAAGCUUCUUCCAUAUUUGAAAGAAUUAGCAGCUUUCUUGGCGUGCAAACCAAGUAUUUCAGUGGUAACUGCAUAAAUGAUCUGUAUUAGCAGCUUUUUUGGCGUGCAAACCAAGUUUCAAAAAACAAUUUGAAAAUUGUAUAGAAAAACAUAAAGUUUAUAUACAAGUCUCAAGCUUCUACAUUUUAAA